CCUUUACAAGAAUGCCAGAUCCGACGUCCAAUAUUUGUUCACCACCUCCCUCACCGUGUUAAAGCCUCUCAAAACUCUAGGUGAAUAUGUACGAUCUGAUACCACGAUCGACGGUCAAAAUCAGCGAACCAAAUAGGGUAAAUCCACAAGAAUGAUGUGAUCCGCGCACACCUGCUAUACGUUUGCAGUGCUCGCAGGUAACAACAGUUCCGAAGGAGUUUAGGGAGUCACGGUGGUUGUAAUCCGGCGGCGGUAUGACGGGGUUAGGUUUUCCAGGCCCGAUCUGUUGUGUUGUCUGUAGAUCGAUCUCAUGCAAUAACAUUUGAACAGAAUCCGGUGCUCUCAAGUUGUCGCGUGACUCUGGUGGUUUAGGGUUUUCAGGACCGCUACAACUAUGACCAUAAUUCUGGUGAUCUCAGCAGCUCCCUGCUUUGUAUUUUGGCGAUCUAUUGGAAACUCGAUGCUGUUGCCAUGACUCCGGAAGCAGCAACACCGGUGUUUGUUACUCUCUCAAUGAGGAUGUAUCAGAGAUUGGGGUUUGAAUCGGUAAAUUUUACUUAUUUUUUCCGUUUUAGGUUCUAAUAACCUAAUCCAAUCAUCAAUUUGAUUCGUAUAAAUGUAUGUAUCAUAUGUUGUAGUCAUUGAUGAUUAUUUGAAUUUUGAUCGAGCAUAGUUCAAUCAGUAUUCAACGGUCAUACUAUUGCUUUAGACCUGUAGUAUCGUUACACUUAAAUAUUAUGUUGCUGCUAAGACCGUGGGGUAUGGUGGGACGGGGGUUUGGGGCAUGGGUUGACACGUGGACUUCGAGGGGCACUGCUGGUCAGUUGCAUGUUGGGUUGGUAUGCCGGGCGUGGCUAGCCCGUGUGGGAGCCACGCGUUAUAAUUUUUUUCAACUAUUAUAAAAAUACAUACAAAAUUAAAAAAAAAAAGCCUAGCCACCUAUAGCCUAGCCAACCCAGCCAAUGAGAGCCAGCCACGGAAGACCGCUAGGCCCGCCCAACGCCCGGGCUGAAACCCCCGCCCAAGGGGCCACGCCGAAACCCAAGCCCACCCGGGGUGGUGACUUGGGCGUUUGUACCCAACCCACGCCCCAUACCCCAUAGUCUAACUUGCUAUAUCUUAAAAUAGUUGAUGUCGCAAAGUUAACUUUUUUUUUUGUUAAUGGUAAACACAACAGAAACUUCAACUUUUGUUGUUUAUAAGAUUAGCUAUUGAUAUCCUAAGAACACAUGAUGCACCAAAUCACCAAUUGCAGGAAACUGUUACCAUGUAUGCUUUUUAUCCGAAUAUAACUAUGAGGUAUGAGUUUAAUCCACCCAUACAAUUACGAUAGGUUGAGACAUGGGUAGGGCGGGGUGCGUAAUGAGUCAAGACGGCUCAUUAUUCGAAUACAGGUCAGGCCAAAUCAUGUUGAGGUGGAACAUUUUUUUCAAAAUAUUUUCUCAAUUUUGUAAUCUAUAUUUUGUCAUAUGAGCUCUAUGGUUUCAGUAAUCGCUUUUAUAAAUUUUGUAUUAAAAUAACAGGAUCUUGGAGAAGGAUGUGUGAAACAAGUUACACUUUCGGUGAUUCUUCACCUAUUUGGCCCGUUUUGUCUUCAGCUAAUUCUGCAUAUUCCCUGUUUUGGUUUAUCAGAUGCCAAAAUCCAAAGGGAUUUUAUCGUAUGGUUAUGCAUUUGGCCGCGAGGAUUGCGGAUGGCUUAUUGUUAUGGCUAACAUGUUUUCCAUCCUUCAUGUAAUUGGUGGCUAUCAGGUAUGACUAACAAUUAUGUGUGUCUUUUAUAUUUUUUUCCUUAAUUUCGCAUUACAUCAUUUGUUGGCAAGACUUUGAUGUCAUUUUUAGUUGUAGCAAAAUGGAUGACUUAGGUAAUGUGUUUAGACCAAGGUCGGUGCACAGCCAAAAUUACUAUUUUGUCCUUUGUUUCAUCCUCCACAUAAAUUACAAGAAUGCCAUGGAGAGAGACUGUGGGUGUUGACUAAUUAUGUGUUAUGAAGAAGAACUCUAAUCUAUGUUCAUGCUUCCCAAAGUUGUCAGCACCGACUGUCGCAACCACGUCACGACAAAAAAACAAAAAAAAUCUCUAGCGUGAUGUUCAAUUUAAUCACUCUAUUUUGCUUCUCUCAUUUUCAUCUUCACUAUUUUCAACCGGCGAGGUGACUCCCUUUUGGUUCCGGAAGAAGUUGUAACAUAAUGUUCGGUCGGGACAAUGACGGGUGGUGACACUGCCACAUCAGGUGUGCUUUUGGCUUUCGAGUCAGUAGGUUUAAGACAGUUCUCCGGGCGGGUAAAUAGGCCUACCGGCAACCUUGGUUAAGUAUGAAAACUCUCAGUUAUCCUUUUCUGUUUGCAUGUUUGAUAAACUUCGUAGGUGACCGAGAUUUGUUUGAUGGCGGCCUGAAUGGCAUCGACGAAAUUAGACCCAAAUCUAGGGAUUGACGACAUUUUCCGGCGGUGGUAGUUGUGUGGGUUAUCGGCGGUAUUGGCAGAGUGGUUUCCGACAAUAGUGGUAGGGAGAGGGUGAGAUGAGAGAGAGAGAAGAGUCGGGAAUUCCUAAGAUGUGACGGCGGCUGUUUGGUGGUUGCGGUCAGGUGGUGGUGACAUUUUUGUAGGUCCCUCUUCGGAGGAUGACGAACCUAAACCUUGUUAUACAAACCCACUAGUGAGUGCGGAAUCCAAGCUAGCAAGCAAACCGGGAUGAGACAAGUA